rnacentral:rRNA from 1 species
GACGAACGCUGGCGGCGUGCCUAAUACAUGCAAGUCGAACGCAGUGGGGACGGGUGAGUAACACGUGGGUCACCUCCCAUCCGAGGGGAUAACACUUGGAAACCGGUGCUAAACCGCUACUGUUGGAUGAACCCGCGGUGCAUUAGCUAGUUGGUGAGGUAACGGCUCACCAAGGCCGCGAUGCCUAGCCGACCGGAACGGUGGAUCGGCCCAACGAGGACGUGGACACGGCCCAGAAUCCUACGGGAGGCAGCAGUAGGGAGGCUUCGGCAAUGGACGAAAGUCUGACCGAGCAACGCCGCGUGAGUGAAGAAGGUUUUCGGAUCGUAAAACUCUGUUGUUAGAGAAGCGGUAUCUAACCAGAGAGCCACGGCUAACUACGUGCCAGCAGCCGCGGUAAUUC